UGAGUUCCCUUCCUGCUGGCAUACGACCAUACGUUGUUUCCUCUUUUUAAUUCCGAGAUUAUUAUUACUGGCAAAUGCCGAUGAAGCCAUUCAAAAACACACCCAGAGCCCAAACGCUGUCGACUGCUUGAGGCUGUAGGCCUGCAAUGUGAUCGUCUUUCUUGCUGUGGGUGCGUCGAGGGCUGGAGGGAAUCGAUUACCGUCAGGCCGUGACGUCAGUACAGCAAACCGGAUGUUUGUUUUCGGUCCGCCAAAGCUUGAGUAAACGAAAGGUUUUCAUUCAGAUUAAACCCCUCCAAGGUAGCCAUGGAUACCGAUGACGAACCGCUGAUUAUGGACGGAAGCUGUCCACUCACGACUCAGCCCACACCAGUAGUUCAGCCAUACUUUGAUAAUCCACCACCUGGAUAUUAUCCGCCUUCAUCCCCGUAUGGACCGGUGCCUGGGGCACCCAUCAACCAUCAUACCACGACCACUGUCAUCAUUAACCAGCCCUCACCCAUGACUGUGGCAGGUCCCAGACUUUGGUCCUCCGACCUCUGCUCCUGCUGUGAUGACAUGGGCAUAUGCUGCCUCGGCCUCUUCUGUCCAUGCAUUCUCGGUGUGCAACUGGCUACAGAUAUGGGAGAAUCGUCUUGCCUCCCUUGCUGUGUGUCUGGCUGGCUCCAUGGGACUGAGAAUAAAGAUGAGAACGCAGAAUAAUAUACAGGGAUCAAUCAUGAACGACUCUUGUGUGACUUGCUUCUGCGGAAUCUGUUCCCUCUGUCAAAUGGCAAGAGAGAUGGAGCUGAUCAAGAGUUCCUUUAGGGUUCGGCAUUAACUACAUCAUCGCCGACAUUUCUAUGAUUCCGGGAGUGCCUUUGGAGGCGGAAAGUGCGAAAAAGGACUGAGUUAAAAACUGUUAAAAAAAGUUUCGCUUUUAGAUAUUUGUUGGAACAAAGCUGUCUUGUGAAGUAAACGAGGACUACGUAAGAAUCAGGGUUUUUAAGGAUCUUAAUUUUCCACAACUUUACCAACAGCAAAAUGUGUUUGUUUCGUAAUAUAUCUUAACUUACAUAAACAUAUAUCAGUAUCAGUUUAAGAAUACAUUGUGUUUGUCCAGUUGUUCCCGAUAUGUAUCAGUUUUCCGGGCUUCUACGAGGAGGAUACUUUUAGUUGAAAAAAGCUCGGUCCCACUGUAUGAACUAAACAAGCUGUUUAGAAAGCUUUAUGUUUAAUUACAUUAAUAACGCAGUGUUGUUGCUGCUGUUGUUGUUUUUGUUUUUUGUUGUUUUUUUUUUUUUUUUUUGGGGGGGGUUCUUUCUUUCAAUUGCUUGUAGUCUAGCUGCAUAGUAGCUUUUAUAGUUUUAUGACGUUUAUAAGGAUAUGGGACAAAGAUACGGACGAAAAUGUUCAUUGUUCUUCUGUACGUCUAAAAAAAAUCUCAUUCAUCAUUUAUUAAAGAUAAACUGGAUGGUCAAUCCGGAAAAAAUUGUUUGAAGUUGUUUUAUCCUUCCUAUAUUUUUUUUAAGUUGUAUUUCUUGUUUGGGGAGCAAUGACGAAUAUACUUCACUGGUGAGGGCAUUUUGUUUUAUCGUGAAUUUAUUGCGGUUUUAAGUCAGUAUAUCUAGACUGUGUUUGUUAUUCGUGGGUUAUAAUAAAAAACUGAUUGUGGCUUUCUAAAAA